rnacentral:rRNA from 1 species
CCUACGGGAGGCUGCAGUGGGGAAUUUUGGGCAAUGGGCGCAAGCCUGACCCAGCAACGCCGCGUGAGGGAGGAAAUCCUUCGGGAUGUAAACCUCACAAGUCAGGGAAGAGAGCGGCCGGGCCAAUAUCCCGGCCGUCCGACGGUACCUGACGUAAGCCACGGCUAACUACGUGCCAGCAGCCGCGGUAAUACGUAGGUGGCAAGCGUUGUUCGGAAUUACUGGGCGUAAAGGGCGCGUAGGCGGCUCGUUAAGUCGGCUGUGAAAGCCCGGGGCUCAACCCCGGAGGGUCGGCCGAUACUGGCGAGCUAGAGUACAGAAGAGGUGGUCGGAAUUCCCGGUGUAGCGGUGAAAUGCUUAGAUAUCGGGAGGAAUACCGGAGGCGAAGGCGGGCCACUGGGCUGAUACUGACGCUGAGGCGCGAAAGCCAGGGGAGCGAA